GAUUUCAACUGAAAAAAUCAUCAACAACAAAGUGGUAUAACUCAUCAAGAUCUAUAACUUUUAUUUUGGUUGUUUCUUCAUCCGAUAAAGUGGUUUGUAACAUUGUUCACAAAAUGUACAUCUCUCUUAUUUAGUUUUAUAAACUAUAAGAGAGAUAUGUAAAUUUUGUGAAAAUAUUACUAUCACUUUGUCAGAUGAAGAAAUGACCAAAAUAGAAGUUAUAGAUCUUGGUAAGUUAUACAAUUUUAUUGUUGAUGACUUUUUCAGCUGAAAUC
rnacentral:pre_miRNA from 1 species